rnacentral:rRNA from 1 species
GACGAACGCUGGCGGCGUGCCUAAUACAUGCAAGUCGAGCGAACUGAUUAGAAGCUUGCUUCUAUGACGUUAGCGGCGGACGGGUGAGUAACACGUGGGCAACCUGCCUGUAAGACUGGGAUAACUUCGGGAAACCGAAGCUAAUACCGGAUAGGAUCUUCUCCUUCAUGGGAGAUGAUUGAAAGAUGGUUUCGGCUAUCACUUACAGAUGGGCCCGCGGUGCAUUAGCUAGUUGGUGAGGUAACGGCUCACCAAGGCAACGAUGCAUAGCCGACCUGGGAGGGUGAUCGGCCACACUGGGACUGAGACACGGCCCAGACUCCUACGGGAGGCAGCAGUAGGGAAUCUUCCGCAAUGGACGAAAGUCUGACGGAGCAACGCCGCGUGAGUGAUGAAGGCUUUCGGGUCGUAAAACUCUGUUGUUAGGGAAGAACAAGUACAAGAGUAACUGCUUGUACCUUGACGGUACCUAACCAGAAAGCCACGGCUAACUACGUGCCAGCCGCCGCCGUAAGAC